AUGCUAAACUUCAAUUUCCUCAUCUGUCACAUGGGCCCAACGAAGGGGCCCCCCCCCGUCAUCGGGUGGCUGUGUUCGUGGCACCCAGGUUGGGAUGACACUUUCACACACCGAAGUACUUUGCACAAUGCCCGGCUUCUAGCAGGUGUUCCGGAACCGGAACACCUGCUAGAAGCCGGGCAUUGUGCAAAGUACUUCGGUGCAUUGUGCAAAGUACUUCCUCUUUUAUCACAAGCCGGUCAUUUAUCACAAGCCGGGCAUUGUGCAAAGUACUUCCUCUUUUAUCACUUCUGCCCGCGGAUGGCGGUACACGGUGUGGAACCACGGUCCAUCGUGGAAAGAGAACUGGUUAGAGCCUCACCUUAUCUCACUGGCGGCAGGAAGGUAAUUGUCAAGACUGAAAUACGAAGACAUGGGACAAUGCAGCAGAGAGUCUGGGGACUUCUGAAGUGAAUUGCCACCGCCCAGCGGUUUUCCUGGGUUUUCCUGUGGCUGAAGUUGUUGCGUACCCACCUGCUACUUCCCCUUUCUUUCCUCACUAGCAGAUAGAGCAAUUUAAUUCAGGCACCUGGAGGGGGAUAUUCAAGGAAAGUAUGCUCCCACUACGUUUCCACCCGUCCAUCGAGCCCUUCGGCCAGAGAUAGUUCUAGAAGUGGGCAUGUAACCUAGUUCUGGCCGCAGAGAUAAAAGGGGAAACCUGCUAGGGGGCUUUACAGAAAGGUUUUCCUCCUCUGUAAAGAUGGGUGCUCAAGGAUAGAGGCCUCCUGUCCUGCCUUUGACCCAAUAGCGGGAGGAAGUGCUGGGGCAGCAGCAGCUAUCCUGUGAUCGUGAGGACACCUGCACAGGGACUAAGCCAAUAGGGCAGGUGAUAGGCUAGAAAGCUGGAGAGGACUGGUUUCUAGAUGGUACAGGUGAUCUCCUGAAUCAGUCCUCGAGCAGAUUCUUGUUAAGUGAAGUAAAACAUGGCCCUAUUAUUUGAGCCAAAUUUAGACCAUCCAUUGGUACUUGUUGAAAACAUCCUGAUGCAGGGAUAUUCAUAGUGUCUCCCUCUCUUGGCUCAUUUAAACUUUAAGGCAUCUUAUUAUAGAUCAGGCUUGAGGCAUUCACAUAACUGACUUCUGCACUGGUGGCCACAGUUCAGUCCAUAGCAGGAACCAAUUUCCUAAUUUUCAAAUUUUCCAUAAUUUUUUUUUACUGUUUUCAAAGCAAAUGGAGAGAUGGUUUGUGUGGCUUCCAGGCAGACAAUGCAGGAAAACUUGUUAAAAAGUAAACAAAAAACAAAGGUCAGGGUGCCUGGGUGUCUCAGUCCGUUGAGCAACCGACCCCUGAUUUCAGCUCAGGUCAUGAUCCCAGGGUCAUGGGAUCGAGCCCCACAUCGGGCUCCACGCUAAAUAUGGAGCCUACUUAAGAUUCUCUCUCUUUCCCUCUACUCUCUCCCCCGUUUUCAUGUUCUCUGUCUCAAGAAAAAAUAAAAGUAAAAUAAAUAAAAAUUUUUUAAAGAUC
rnacentral:lncRNA from 1 species